rnacentral:rRNA from 1 species
GAUGAACGCUGGCGGCGUGCCUAAUACAUGCAAGUCGAGCGAACAGACGAGGAGCUUGCUCCUCUGACGUUAGCGGCGGACGGGUGAGUAACACGUGGAUAACCUACCUAUAAGACUGGGAUAACUUCGGGAAACCGGAGCUAAUACCGGAUAAUAUAUUGAACCGCAUGGUUCAAUAGUGAAAGACGGUUUUGCUGUCACUUAUAGAUGGAUCCGCGCCGCAUUAGCUAGUUGGUAAGGUAACGGCUUACCAAGGCAACGAUGCGUAGCCGACCUGAGAGGGGGAUCGGCCACACUGGAACUGAGACACGGUCCAGACUCCUACGGGAGGCAGGAGUAGGGAAUCUUCCGCAAUGGGCGGAAGCCUGACGGAGCAACGCCGCGUGAGUGAUGAAGGUCUUCGGAUCGUAAAACUCUGUUAUUAGGGAAGAACAAAUGUGUAAGUAACUAUGCACGUCUUGACGGUACCUAAUCAGAAAGCCACGGCUAACUACGUG